UCCAAUCACCGUGCGGGAGGGGCGGGCCUCGCCGCCCGGAGCCUCGCCGCCCUCCAGAGUGACACCACUGUCAUCCAAUAAGCCCAGCAAGGUCCACAUCCUCGCCUGGCCACUCGCGCGGCGGGACGACCGGGACCAAGGAGGGAAGAGGAGUCUGGGAGCUUAGCGGCGUAGUGUCGUCGGCGUCACUAUUUCACCAAGAUGAGCUCUGGCCACCAGCGAGGCCUCAGGACCUUUGAAAAAGCCUGGCUGAGUGCCGCAGGAGGGAUCCGCCCCAAACUCACAUAGGGUCCUCCCAUUGGUGCGUGGUACUGUCAGUCGGCCGAGGUGUAGCCCGAAGCAUGCUGGAACUUGUAGGCGGCCUCCCCUUAGCUUCGGAGGCCUCCGGGAAGCAGGGUUUGCCUUGCCAGGUCUCUUUCUCGGUUUUCUGAGCAUCUUUUCUGUUCUGGAGUCCCUCAGGUCUGGCGUGCCGGGUACCAGAACCCCCGCAGCUGGCUAGCUUCUGGCAUUUUCCAGGGCAAAGGUAGCUCCGGCUCUCGUUCCAGGAACCUAACCGAAAAGUUUCGAAAGGCUGCCCCUUGGAGCUCAGCUGAGUUUCCGGGAAGGCGGGAGGGAAUGUGACCUAAGAGUUAGAUACUUCUCAACCAGAAUUCUACAGUAACGGAAGGAGGUGUGGGACGACGACAAGCAGAGCAAGUUUGGCGGCUGUUUUUACCAUCAAGGGGGGCUCCUGACUGGUCACAAUGGGACAGUGGAGGAUGUCAGUGAGGGACGAGUCCUCUGUAGGCCCGAAAACUAAUUAGGAAGAUGGGCCCGCCUGGUACCCUGAGCAGUUUUACUUCUUUGUGUCCUUGGAGAAUUUGGCCAGGAAUUUCAGAUUCAUUCAUUCAUGUGGAAGCUGCUUCCUACUCGUGGGGUCUGAGACCUUGAUCUCUGAAUUCCAAAAAUGGUAACAACAUGGCUCCUUAGCUACUACGGUUCUCAUUCUUCAGUAGCUUAAGCCUCUGCCUGUCUCACUGUUUUCCUUCGUUUGGAACCUUCCUUACUUGAUUUCGAUCCAUGGACAGCCGUUUCAGGGACCUCUUUAUUAGAGAUGCCAUACUGUAUUCAUACAGUCGGAGCCUACGCUUUAUGAAGUAUGGACUCCAGGUAGAAAAGGCCCCAAACUAUGGAAAUAUGAAAUUAAAAAAAAAAACCAUCUGGCUAUUUCUAAAUAUGUUGGGUUGGAGAUGUAGCUAAGUGUUUGCUUACUAUGUAUGAGGCUCUGGAUUCUAGCACAUGUGUGUGAACACAGUCAAACACACACACACACACACACACACACACCAAAAAAAAAAAAAAAAGUCUGGUUUAGUCCUUAUUGUGAGGGUCUUCAGAUCUGGUUCUAACUUUAUAAUAAGUAGAAUACCUGUGGAUUACUUGAAAGCCACGUUUAUAUAAAAGUCACGUGACUUCCCAAAGUAAGCCGCCUUAGAAAUGAAAGUGGUCCUUACCUAGACUUGCCAGCCUUUGGUCCUCUGCACUGCCCUGACCGAAUCCGCUGGCUUCACUCCACUAUGCUGAAGCAAAUUACAAACCGCUGGACUUGGCUUUGCUGUAUAUUCCUGCUCUGAACUCUGCCCUCCUUGGUGCUUAGCUAUACUGUGUUUCAUCUCUUAUUCAUGCCGCAUCACAUUCCCCUUAGUGGGUAUUCUAACCUGUCUCCGUGGAGAGCUGCUUUAUAAUUUAUAUGCACCAUCUCAUUUAAUCUUCUAACAGCGUAGGAAAGAGCAGCCUGGAAGAGGUCUAACAGUCGGCCUGAGCGAACAUCUAGGACAGAAACUGUCUUAGGAUGCCAUGUCUGAGACUCCGCUGCAGUCAACUUUACCCUUCCCUUUCUCAGCUUCUUACGAACCAAAUCUCUCACACACGGAGCACCUACCUGCCUUCCACGGAGGGAGAAAAUGGGACUACCUGGAGAACGUCCUCACUUUUACUUAAAAGUCUGUGCAUCUCUUCCUUUCUCAUGACACUGAUUGCUGUUUCUAUCCCAACUCCUCCUGCCUCUCCUUAUUUCGCUGACACUUUCCAGUCAGUCCUUUACAUGGUUUUUCUUCUGAGGACUGUGAUUGAGUCCUGAGGGGAAAUUAAUCCUGCUUUGAUCCAGUUCCCCGCAGCCUAAUUAACUCUGGUGGCUCUCACCGCCGUAUUUCUCACCACCAAUAAUUUAUUGGCAUGGAGAUCCUGAGUGACGAUAUUGGCGGACUUCUCGCAGUCCACAAUCAUUUCAGCGUUUGCCGUGCUGUGUAGUUGGUCUGCUUCCAUACCCUCCUUUGUCAGCCUGACUCCUCCAUUUUGUUCUGGAUCUUUCCCAUCUGUAGUUCCUCCGAAAGAGUCGAGUCCUAGACCUUUCAUUUCAGCACUAACUGACCUCUCCCCCAAUUUUUUUAAGUGUCUAUUAUAACCCCACUGCAAAAUAUGCUCCCAUCACGUAAGCCCCAUCUUAAAUGUCUCUGGGCUUCCCUUGUCAUUAAAUUCAGUGCUCUGAAUCUUCCUAUUUCAUUCUCCUGAGGGGAAGCUCGCUCUUCCAGCCUGAAAUCUUAUAGUCCUCUUGUCUUGGCCUCCUUUCUCAUGUCCCAGGUCCAGGCAGGCAUCGGUUUCUUUCCAUUCCCAUUGCCAACACCUUACUGCAUAGAGUUUUUAAAAUGGUACAAGACUGUAUCACUCUCACUUCCAGCACCACAUUAGUUUCUGAAUCAUUCUUGACUUCCUUUUUUAAAAUAGCUCAUUUGAUCUUCCAGGUUAGUUGUAAAACCAUGUUAAGCCAUGUUGAUUGUACCGAAGUUAGAAAGUCAGGGAGGAAAGAUGACCUAUCAGGAGAUCAGGAAGGCCAGGGAGAGGGAAGAUGACCUAUCGGGAGAUCAGGAAGGUUGGGUCUGAUCGACACUGAUUGAUUCAUCCAACAGCUACUGAGUGAACACAUGGAAAGGGAAACAUAGGUUCUGACGCCAUUACAUCUGUCUCUAUCAGUCAUUAUCCUUUUACCUCCUGAUUUCUCCUGAGACGUCUAGUCUAAAGUCCAGCCCCAUCCGCUUCCCUUCAUCCCCUCCUUCCUGGGGAACUUCCUAUGGGCUCACACUCACACUUCAGUUUCUCCUUCAGUCUGUGCUCCUCCCUUUUCUCUUCCUCCUAGCUGAGUCUGGAGAAGUGGCUUGGACAAAGUGUCCCCCAUAGGCUCGUGUCGGAACACUCAGUCCUAGUUGGUAGGUGUAGUUCGGGGAGGUUUGGCAACUUUUCAUGGGUAGAUCUUCACGGGAGGAAAUGGCCCACCAUGGUGGGGCGGGGCGCAUUGAGGUUUUAUAGAAACCUCCUUCCACCACGCUCUCUGCUUCUUGAUUUGCCCAGAUGUGAGCAAGCAGCCGCAUAUCCCUACCAGUGCUUAAGAGCCACAAGGCUGCCAUGUUUCCCCACCACGAUGAACUGUAUCUCAACCUGAGCAAAAGCAAAUGCUUCCCUCCUGUGUGCUUGCCACCAUGAGAAAAGUCCCAUAAAAAUAGUCUACGCUUGCUCGCUCCUCGAAUUCUUUUCCUUCAUUUUACCCCUAAUGCCAUGCAGUCCGGCAUUUGCAAAAGGCCCCUGCAGCAUGCCAAUGUGUGCUACUUUUCAGUUCGUACUUAACUGACUUUGUUGUCAAUUAAAACACAACUGUCUGAAACCCCCCCCCCCUUCCCUUGCUCCCUGGCCAUCCUCUCUUACCCCACGGUGCAGUUUCUUCUGCUCAUCUCUUCAAUGUUACUUGGGUUCUUAGCCCUCAUCUGCCUCCCUCCCCAAACCUCCUCCUUCCCCCUUGAUUAUUAUGGGGGUGAUACUUCAGGUGAUGUGUAGAAAAAAAAAGCAUCAGUCUCCUUGUUUCCUGUGGGCUGGGGGUUCUGCUAUUGGUACCACUAACCCCUCCACGAGACUUCUGAAUUCAGAGACUUGGUGGUGAAGGAGUGACGUGGACACGUGGCUGGAAGGAGAGCAAUCAGACCAGGAGGCGUCUGCUUCCCGAGAGGCUCAUAGCUGACAUCUGCUUCUCCAGGAGUCUUCCAUUCAUGGAGUCUUUGCUGUGUAUCUCUAUGUGUGCUACCCAUAUGUGCUGGAGAGAUUUUUGUCAGUGUGCCACAAGCUGGGACAUUUGGGAAGAGAGAACGUCGGCUGAGAACAUGCCUCCAUCAUACUGGUCUGUAGCCCUGGCUGGCCUGGAACUUGGUAUGUAGACCAGGCUGGCCUUGAACUCUCAGGAAUCGCUUGCCUCGCUGCUGGGAUUAAAGGUGUGCGCCUCCACCACCCGCUACAUCACAUUCCCUAUGCACUCACCUGAUGCCGCUUCUGCCGUCACUGUGCCUCUCUGCCUUUUUUUUCUUUAAGAUUUUAUUCUUAUUAUUUUAAAAUGAUGUGUGUACGUGGGUAUGUGCACAUGAGGCAUCAGAUCCCCUGGAGCUGGAGUUAGAGGUGGUUGUGAGCCACCCAGUGUAGGAGCUGGGAACUGAACUCAGAUCCUCUGGACUGCUGAGCAAACUUCGAAUCACAUGGGCUCCUGCUGUCUGCUGCAUUUCAAACACCGGCUACAGCGCCUGAAACACAACGUGUUCAGUAAGUGGAUACGUGGCUGAGACUCGUGGUUCAUAUCUAGAAGCUCAUAUCCGGACAAACCAUCGGGGAGAUGCAUUGCUAAUUUCAGGAGCCCUCCAGCUCUUGACUUUAGUAAACGAUGUGCUAACUUCCAAGAGGACAUUUAACCCUAAAACUUAGGUGGAAGCACAAGAGAUCUCAAACAACUAAGGCAACCCUGAUGAAUGCUGGAGGCGACAAGACCUGACUUCAAACUCAGCUACAGCCAAGGUAACAAAAGCAGCGUGAUAGUGCUGUAGACCCAUAUGACCUAGAUAGACACCCAUGCGCUUGCAGCCAUCUGAUUCUCGACAAAGGUACCAAACCAUGCACUGGAAAAAAGACCAUCUCCUGCAAAAGUGUUAGUAGUAAAGUUUAGGUAUCCAAACUAGAGCCUUAUCUCUCACCCUGUACAAAAAUCAACUCAAAUAGACCAAGGGUAAGACCCAAAACUUUGGAAAUUGUUCCAGAUCUAGAGGCAAGCAAUAGCUUUCUGAAUAGCUUCCAGUAGUUCAAGAAAUAAGAGCAAGAACUGACAAAGAUAUAUCAAAUUAAAAUGCUUCUCUACAGCAAAAGAACAAUCAAUGGAGAGAAGAGACAGCACAUAAAAUAAAAGUCUUUCCCAAGUAUUUAUCUAAUGGGAGUAAUGGCCAUAAUAUAUAAAGAACUAAAAAGGGGACAACAGACCAAUUAGCUCAAUCAAUGAAUGAGCAAUGGAAAUGAAUAGACACUUUUUAAAUGAAGAUACGCACAUGUGCCCAUGUUAUAUGCAAAUACACGAACAAUAUUUAACACCCCUAGCUAAAAUGCACACCAACUACUUUGAGAUUCUAUCUCACCUCAGUCAGAGUGGCUAAUCAUUAAGAAAACAAGGGGGCUGGAGAAAUGGCUCAGCAGUUAAGAGC